UAGACAAAUUGUUUGUCAGAAUGGCUUUC
rnacentral:piRNA from 1 species